UACGUAGGGGGCAAGCGUUGUCCGGAUUUAUUGGGCGUAAAGAGCGUGUAGGCGGCCUGACAGGUCUGCUGUGAAAACUCGAGGCUCAACCUCGAGAUGUCGGCGGAAACCGUCUGGCUAGAGUCCGGAAGAGGAGAGUGGAAUUCCUGGUGUAGCGGUGAAAUGCGCAGAUAUCAGGAGGAACACCGGUGGCGAAGGCGGAUCUCUGGGCCAUAACUGACGCUGAGGAGCGAAAGCAUGGGGAGCGAACAGG
rnacentral:rRNA from 1 species